rnacentral:rRNA from 1 species
AGUAAAGUAUCGGAACGUGCCCAGUCGUGGGGGAUAACGUAGCGAAAGUUACGCUAAUACCGCAUACGAUCUAUGGAUGAAAGCGGGGGAUCGCAAGACCUCGCGCGAUUGGAGCGGCUGAUAUCAGAUUAGGUAGUUGGUGGGGUAAAGGCUCACCAAGCCGACGAUCUGUAGCUGGUCUGAGAGGACGACCAGCCACACUGGGACUGAGACACGGCCCAGACUCCUACGGGAGGCAGCAGAG